GAUGAACGCUGGCGGCGUGCCUAAUACAUGCAAGUCGAGCGAACAGACGAGGAGCUUGCUCCUCUGACGUUAGCGGCGGACGGGUGAGUAACACGUGGAUAACCUACCUAUAAGACUGGGAUAACUUCGGGAAACCGGAGCUAAUACCGGAUAAUAUAUUGAACCGCAUGGUUCAAUAGAGAAAGACGGUUUUGCUGUCACUUAUAGAUGGAUCCGCGCCGCAUUAGCUAGUUGGUAAGGUAACGGCUUACCAAGGCAACGAUGCGUAGCCGACCUGAGAGGGUGAUCGGCCACACUGGAACUGAGACACGGUCCAGACUCUUACGGGAGGCAGCAGUAGGGAAUCUUCCGCAAAGGGCGAAAGCCUGACGGAGCAACGCCGCGUGAGUGAUGAAGGUCUUCGGAUCGUAAAACUCUGUUAUUAGGGAAGAACAAAUGUGUAAGUAACUAUGCACGUCUUGACGGUACCUAAUCAGAAAGCCACGGCUAACUACGUG
rnacentral:rRNA from 1 species